rnacentral:rRNA from 1 species
AUUGAACGCUGGCGGCAGGCCUAACUCAUGCAAGUCGAACGAGUGGCGGACGGGUGAGUAAUGUCUGGGAAACUGCCUGAUGGAGUGGGAUAACUACUGGAAACGUUAGCUAAUACCGCAUACCAUCAGAUGUGCCCAGAUGGGAUUAGCUUGUUGGUGGGGUAACGGCUCACCAAGGCCACGAUCCCUAGCUGGUCUGAGAGGAUGACAAUACAAACUGGAACUGAGACACGGUCGAGACUCCUAGGGGAGGAAGCAGUGGGGAAUAUUGCACAAUGGGCGAAAGCCGGAUGCAGCCAUGCCGCGUGUAUGAAGAAGGCCUUCGGGUUGUAAAGUACUUUCAGCGGGGAGGCGUUACCCGCAGAAGAAGCACCGGCUAACUCCGUGCCAGCAGCCGCGGUAAUUC